rnacentral:rRNA from 1 species
CGGCAGGCUUACACAUGCAAGUCGAGCGGAGAGAGGUAGCUUGCUACUGAUCUUAGCGGCGGACGGGUGAGUAAUGCUUAGGAAUCUGCCUAUUAGUGGGGGACAACAUUUCGAAAGGAAUGCUAAUACCGCAUACGUCCUACGGGAGAAAGCAGGGGAUCUUCGGACCUUGCGCUAAUAGAUGAGCCUAAGUCGGAUUAGCUAGUUGGUGGGGUAAAGGCCUACCAAGGCGACGAUCUGUAGCGGGUCUGAGAGGAUGAUCCGCCACACUGGGACUGAGACACGGCCCAGACUCCUACGGGAGGCAGCAGUGGGGAAUAUUGGACAAUGGGCGCAAGCCUGAUCCAGCCAUGCCGCGUGUGUGAAGAAGGCCUUAUGGUUGUAAAGCACUUUAAGCGAGGAGGAGGCUACUUUAGUUAAUACCUAGAGAUAGUGGACGUUACUCGCAGAAUAAGCACCGGCUAACUCUGUGCCAGCAGCCGCGGUAAUACAGAGGGUGCAAGCGUUAAUCGGAUUUACUGGGCGUAAAGCGCGCGUAGGCGGCUAAUUAAGUCAAAUGUGAAAUCCCCGAGCUUAACUUGGGAAUUGCAUUCGAUACUGGUUAGCUAGACGUGUGGGAGAGGAUGGUAGAAUUCCAGGUGUAGCGGUGAAAUGCGUAGAGAUCUGGAGGAAUACCGAUGGCGAAGGCAGCCCUCCUGGCCUAACACUGACGCUGAGGUGCGAAAGCAUGGGGAGCAA